CACGCUUACAGUCAGUUGCAGAAAACUGUCUUUAAAAUCGACAUUAGUUAAUCCGUCAUUAUCGCUAAUAUUCCAUUAAAUUUAAAGACGUUGCACAAAACUGUUGCGGGUCCCUUUAAUGGGACUUUAACUAAAGACGACAUUAAAAAGUGUUGCAAGUUAAAACACAUAUUUUGAAUGAACUGAUUACGUAGUAUUUGUAUACUCUGUGGAACUGAUUGAAUGUAAAUUGUCAUUAAGGAUGGAAGGAUGUGAAUCCCGCUUCGAAAGAAACCGAUUUUUUAAAAUAACGAUUUAUCGAUCGUGACUCGAUUUAUUUCAUGUAGUUAAAGGACAAUAUAAAAAUCAAUACAAUACCAUUUGUUACUACUUAGUUACUUGUAAACUAAGACUUAGUUAUGAGUUUUUCCAGAGCUAAUCACAUUUUUUACGUAAUACCUAUAUCUAUAUUUUGUAUUUGAUUAAAUAUCUCUAUAUUUAAUAGAUUAGGUAUAUGUGUUAUUUUAAUUAGCUACUAUUAAAUGUAUUUUGUAGUGUCUUAAUAGUGGAAUACAUAUAAAUAUCUAAUUUUCUUCUAAUUCCCUGAACCGAUUCAAUUAUGUGUUCCGAUUUAAAAUAGGUAUCAACCUUUUUGGUUCGCGGGAAUAAAAUUCUAGAUGACCAUUGACCAGCCCUAGUUGUCAAUAUUGUCAUCAUGAGCGUUUCUGUCAUCUCUGUAUUUAGGAAAAAUCCUAAUUUUUUACGAUAAAAAUAUUAUCAAUUGCUUUAAUGUGGUGUUGAAUUAUCUUUCAUUGGUAUCGUAACACCUUUUGUAAGAGAGAAGAUUUAAUGUAGCUUCCAGGUGUUUGUUAUUGUUGUGAUUAAUUGAGAAUUGGACUCGUCUUGAGUUUUCCUUUUGUAGAAAGAAUUUUCAGUGUUAUUCAUUAACCAUGGUAUCUGAUGCAACACAGGCUGGUUCAGGCAGUAUGCAUCGCCCUUUUACUAACUUUUUAAGCAAAGAAUUAACCAAAGAAUGGUAUAAUAUUGCACCCACAGAGGAAGUACGAAUUACCCCCAUGUGACGGUGGCUUGGUAUUUUAGUAAAAUAAAUAUAUAAUAAAAUAAAUUAAUUUAAAACAAGAUAAAUCGUUUUAUUUAUUCUUAAAAAUAACUACUUAAUAGUUAACACUUCUUUAGCAUUUACCCAGUCUCUAUAAAGAACAAGGUAUAUACAUCUAUUAAUACACCGAUUCUAUAAUAAUUCCCCGAGCAUGAUAUGGAAAUACCUAAGGAAGGCCAAUGUUUGGCAGGAAGCUGAUCUUCGGUAGAUCCCGUAGCGAAGAAUCACAAACAUCUAUAUGACGAAAAUUGCGCGGACGUAGGAGCAUAAAAUUUGGUACACUUAUAGUUUAUGUGUAGGAGAAGUGCAGAACGCUAAUAUUUUUCAUAAAUAAUGCUUAUAAAGUACAUUCAUAAUCAAUAAAUAAAUAAAUCAAUAAAUAAAACAUUACACACACUACCAUGCAUAGUAGGGGAAGGUAGGGUAAUUGAGAACGGCGGGUAAUUGGGAACACGUUGAUAAGUCCCACUUCCCCUCCCCGUAUCCCGUCUCGCGGCUAUUCGAGGUAUGCUUCCCCCGCCCCUAAGUGCGCAAGCGACAGUGGGAACUGGAGGAUGCACGCAUCUUGACACGAUGAGGCGAGACGUUGAUGCAGCCAGACUGAACCAGACACCACCAGUUCAAUUAUCAGAUUCACAUGACCACGAUAAAGCUUUGGGCACAUGUGCAAUGCACUUCCAGAGAGACCAGCAAAAGUUACGUGUGUGAUAUUAUGUGUCAUGAAAUGAAAAAAUAUUUUUUCCGUUAUAAGCAGACAGAUAAAUAAUGUUUUUAAGUAAUAAAAGUUGAUUCCUUUUUUAAGAGAAAAUACUGUUUUUUGCCUUUUAAGUUAAGUGUUCCUAAUUCCCCCACCUUCCCCUAUCGUAUUUGACAAAACGUCAAAUUGACAGACAUUGCGAUGAUAUUAAAAGAAGAAGAAAUGAAAAGAGGUUUCUCAUUGAAGGAGGUUAUUAUAAUGAAGAGGUUUGGUUAUUCAUGAUGCGCCGGAAUAUAUUAAUUUGAAUUUUACUAAACGAAUAGCAAUUCGUUAAAUAAAAAUUAUCCUUGAACGUAUGUUAAGUGGUAUUGUAAAUUAAAUCGUAUAUGGUCGAAUUUCGACCACUAGGCGGCCACUAGUGUCAAUAACUAUGUGAGGCCAUCAAUAGCUUUAUUUCUUCGAGUUUCAGUUUCUAAAUUGAGUAUCUCGCAAAUGCGUAAAGCUUUAGAAAUCCUGUAUCUCACACGAAACUCUUCUCCGUCAUGUUUUUCAAAUAAAUUUAUCCUAUCUGGUACACGACGUCGUCGUGGAAGGAGCGAAUAAAGAUGGUAGGCUUGAAAGGGACAUUAUAAACAAUACUGUAAUAAAGUAAAAAAAUAUUACUAGCACUAUUUACAAAAGAAUUGAGAGUUUAAUAACAAGUUUAAUGGAUGUUUGACUAGGCAUUAAAAAUUAUAGCCCCAAACUGUCAAUUUAAUGCUCCUUUAGCGCUAAUGACGUUUUGUGCAACGUAAAAAAUAGGCUAAAGUCCCGAUUUGACGUUUCUUUAAUUAAUGUUAAUCCGGCAUUAAAAUGAGAUAGAAAUACUUCUUUAUGCAACACUUUAAAGCUUCAUUAAUAUUUAAAGUCACUUUAAAAAUUUAAUGAUCGUUCCUGCAACUGACUGUUACAGUCAGUUGCAGAAAACUGUCUUUAAAAUCGACAUUAGUUAAUCCGUCAUUAUCGCUAAUAUUCCAUUAAAUUUAAAGACGUUGCACAAAACUGUUGCGGGUCCCUUUAAUGGGACUUUAACUAAAGACGACAUUAAAAAGUGUUGCAAGUUAAAACACAUAUUUUGAAUGAACUGAUUACGUAGUAUUUGUAUACUCUGUGGAACUGAUUGAAUGUAAAUUGUCAUUAAGGAUGGAAGGAUGUGAAUCCCGCUUCGAAAGAAACCGAUUUUUUAAAAUAACGAUUUAUCGAUCGUGACUCGAUUUAUUUCAUGUAGUUAAAGGACAAUAUAAAAAUCAAUACAAUACCAUUUGUUACUACUUAGUUACUUGUAAACUAAGACUUAGUUAUGAGUUUUUCCAGAGCUAAUCACAUUUUUUACGUAAUACCUAUAUCUAUAUUUUGUAUUUGAUUAAAUAUCUCUAUAUUUAAUAGAUUAGGUAUAUGUGUUAUUUUAAUUAGCUACUAUUAAAUGUAUUUUGUAGUGUCUUAAUAGUGGAAUACAUAUAAAUAUCUAAUUUUCUUCUAAUUCCCUGAACCGAUUCAAUUAUGUGUUCCGAUUUAAAAUAGGUAUCAACCUUUUUGGUUCGCGGGAAUAAAAUUCUAGAUGACCAUUGACCAGCCCUAGUUGUCAAUAUUGUCAUCAUGAGCGUUUCUGUCAUCUCUGUAUUUAGGAAAAAUCCUAAUUUUUUACGAUAAAAAUAUUAUCAAUUGCUUUAAUGUGGUGUUGAAUUAUCUUUCAUUGGUAUCGUAACACCUUUUGUAAGAGAGAAGAUUUAAUGUAGCUUCCAGGUGUUUGUUAUUGUUGUGAUUAAUUGAGAAUUGGACUCGUCUUGAGUUUUCCUUUUGUAGAAAGAAUUUUCAGUGUUAUUCAUUAACCAUGGUAUCUGAUGCAACACAGGCUGGUUCAGGCAGUAUGCAUCGCCCUUUUACUAACUUUUUAAGCAAAGAAUUAACCAAAGAAUGGUAUAAUAUUGCACCCACAGAGGAAGUACGAAUUACCCCCAUGUGACGGUGGCUUGGUAUUUUAGUAAAAUAAAUAUAUAAUAAAAUAAAUUAAUUUAAAACAAGAUAAA